rnacentral:ncRNA from 1 species
CCUGUGGACUGUACAAGAACUUGUUAGUAGAUUAAUUUAUUAAUCGAAAGCAUACAGGAUGAAAUAGGAA